UUAUCCAAACAAAGCAGUGGUCCUGGGACUGGUGCUUCUCUGACACAUUAUGAUAAAGAAGGGAAAGUCACCUGUGCCUUGGUGGUGGCUUCAGGGGAUUUGUUAUUUCUGUUACUAUUUCAUUCAUCUUGGACACUGAGCAAAGGCUGAGACCUCCCAGAAGGUGGGCGGGAAGAGAUACCUUCUGAAGAGAAUGAGGCAGUGCCCGGGAUUCAGCGUGGCCUGGGGAACAAUAAACAGCAGAAACCGCUCAGAGGACAGCUCCAUUCAUGUUGCUGGUUUUACAAACGCUGCUCAUUUCUGACUCACGUCGCACAAGUCACAGCGUGAGAACGGUGAAGGACGGACUCAGGCUGCGCAGCCAAAGCCUUGAAAUUCACACUUGCACGAUGAUGGCUCUAAAAUGCACCCUGACAGAUGGAUACUCUUGAGCUGUCAUAAGCCCUAUGGAGAAAACCCAGUCAAUGUGUGAGUUAAGGCGGCAGUGAAUGAUCCUCAUUCUUCUGAACCAUGUUAUAAAGCAAGGCACCCAGGCUCCCCAUUGCUAGAGCAUUUCCCAGCUGUGUGCAAGAACAGUCGCAUUGUGGUUUUACACAGGAGCUCAGGUUGCCUCUUAUGAAUAUGCAUGACCAGGCUGGAUCUUGCUCUUGCCCCUGGAGUUUUCUUGCACUUACCUUAGCUCCCACAAACCCAUUUCCUGCCUAUCAUUUGAAGACGUUCUUUGAGGAGCUUUGAAAAAAGGCAGAUGGGAAAGUUCAAGGAAAACACCCUCUGGAAAGAGGAAAAGUACUCUGGUCUGGAUUUGUGCGUUGGUGCCAUCGCUGGAGAAGUCCCGAUAAGCAGCGCUGCCACAAGGAAAUGAACAGAUGGCAAAUGGUCCUCGAGCAGCGUUCAGAGUGGGUUUCCUUUGUUUUAGGAGUGACUGUUAUUCUCUUCUUACUGUGAACUCUAUGUACUCCUGAGAAUGCAAACACAAGCUGGAAACUCUUUCCUAAUAUUCGUAAAACAGGUCACUGGAUCUAAAGAGUACUUGGCCAGUUGGGAGCUCCCACACGCACUUGCUAAUUGUUAUUGCUGUUCUUUGUGAGAGGAAAUGGGGGAGGGGAGAGCAGCUAGCUCCUCUGAAGCCAAGAGGCAGCGCUCCAGGAGCCCACGUGGUGAACAGCAUGUGCUGGGACAUGCCAGCAUGUGUGGCUCCUCAACUUGGCACGUAGACUCCACCCCUGUUUGACAAAAUUUACAAAGCAGACAGGGAGCUGUGGGGGUGUUUUCUCUUAACAAACAGUAAUGGGUGAGGAAAUGGCAAAUGGAGGUUGCUAUGCAGUUGUUUUGCUGUUGAUAUGGGAGCAACGCCAGACAGCACUUAGACUCUGGGAACAUUUUCGUUAUUCCAUGGAAGCCCCCGCCUUUCCAUAGAGAACUCAUGCUAAUGCCUUUUGCUUUAAUGACAAUAAGGAGUGUACCUUGUGUCUAGAUGAGCUGCUCUUGUUUCUCUUCGAUCUGGCAAUCCCAUCCUGAGACCCAGUUACUCACAUCCCCUUGGUUGUCAUAGAUUACCAGUUUCUAAUAAACUAUCUGUUUUGUUUGUUUGUUUUUCAUGGUGAGCAUUCUUUUCCUAGAAAGCACUUAUAUUCUUAAAAUUGCUCAGCACUAUUUCAGCAUUUAAAGUUCAUGGUUUAAAAGUUGAUGAUUUUGCUUCAUUGUUAAAUGGUGAGUGAAAUAACAGGGUCAAGGUAAGUUUAACAGGAUUUAGAAUUCCAAUGUGACGGAAGUCUUUCCUUCUCCUAAAAAAUGGUGGGGAAAAAGAAUGGAAGGAAGGAAAAAAGGAAAAAACAAAGGGAGGGAGAGAGGAAGGGAGGAAAAAUCUAUUCAAAGGAAGUCUUGAGUCGGUGAGAUUACUGACUAAAUCAAAGUUUAUCUGGGCGAAACCACUUUAUGGGCUCUUCUUUGUGUCUUGCUUGAUUGGUUGAACAAAUACCUUUCACAAGUAUACUGUGUGCCAGGCAUAUGAACAAAACAGCAUUUUUGGCUACCAUCUAAUAAUACAGUCUUUUCAUUCUACUUUCAAAAUAAGUCAUUUUUACAUUGUACAUCUCAUAUUCUGU